UGAAUACGAGACGCUAAGGCGUCGAAGUAGUGUAUGUCAUACUUCCAAGAAAAGCCUGCACUGUCAUAGAUAAAAAACGCCUGUACCAUAACCGACACAGGUGGGUAGGUAGAGUAUACUAAGGGGCGCGAGAUAACUCUCUCUAAGGAACUCGGCAAAAUAACUCCGUAACUUCGGGAGAAGGAGUGCCUUAUUCGUAAGGUUGCAAUAACAAGAUCCAAGCAACUGUUUAUCAAAAACACAGGUCUCCGCUAAGUCGUAAGACGAUGUAUGGGGGCUGACGCCUGCCCAGUGCCAGAAGGUUAAAGAAGUUGGUUAGCAAUUGCGAAGCUGAUAACUGAAGCCCUGGUGAACGGCGGCCGUAACAAUAACGGUCCUAAGGUAGCGAAAUUCCUUGUCGGGUAAGUUCCGACCCGCACGAAAGGCGUAAUGAUUUGGAUACUGUCUCGGAGAGGGGCUCGGUGAAAUAGACUUGUCUGUGAAGAUGCGGACUACCUGCACCAGGACAGAAAGACCCUAUGAAGCUUUACUGUAACUUGAAAUUGAAAUUGGACUUUAUUCGCGCAGUAUAGGUGGGAGGCGUUGAUUAUAAUCUUGUGGGAUUAUUGGAGCCAUCAGUGAGAUACCACUCUUGUAAUGUUAGAUUUCUAACUUUGAAUCAUUAUCUGGUCAAAGAACAGUUUCAGGCGGGCAGUUUGACUGGGGCGGUCGCCUCCUAAACGGUAACGGAGGCGUACAAAGGUUUCCUCUGAACGGUUAGAAAUCGUAUCUAGAGUGUAAAGGCAUAAGGAAGCUUGACUGUGAGACCUACAAGUCGAGCAGGGACGAAAGUCGGUCUUAGUGAUCUGACGGUACUGAGUGGAAAGGCCGUCACUCAACGGAUAAAAGUUACUCUAGGAUAACAGGCUGAUCUCCCCCAAGAGUUCACAUCGACGGGGAGGUUUGGCACCUCGAUGUCGGCUCAUCGCAUCCUGGGGCGGUAGUACGUCCCAAGGGUUGGGCUGUUCGCCCAUGAAAGCGGUACGCGAGCUGGGUUCAGAACGUCGUGAGACAGUUCGGUCCAUAUCCGGUGUAGGCGUUAGAAUAUUGAGAGGAGCCUUCUUUAGUACGAGAGGACCGAGAAGGACAUACCUCUGGUGUACCAGUUAUCGUGCCAACGGUAAACGCUGGGUAGCUAUGUAUGGAGUGGAUAACCGCUGAAAGCAUCUAAGUGGGAAGCCCACCUCAAGAUAAGUAUUCUCAUC
rnacentral:rRNA from 1 species